rnacentral:lncRNA from 10 species
GUCUCUACUAAAAAUACAAAAAUUACUCAGGCGUAGUAGUGCGCACCUGUAAUCCCAGCUACUCGGGAGGCUGAGGUGGGAUAAUCGCUUGAACCCGGGAGGCGGAGGUUGCAGGGAGCCGAGAUUACCCCACUGCACUCCAGCCUGGGUGACAAGAACAAAACUCUAUCUCAAAAAAAAAAAAAACAAAAAAGAUUUAGACCUAAAUACCAGUCUGUCACACCUCCAAUCCCUGGGCACACAAAAUGUGUGUGAUAAGGGGCCAUAGAGCCUCACAAAUAGAAUUGUGGGGGCAUAAGAGAUAAAGGGCACCCCCUUGCUUAUGUGAAGAGGCGAGGGGACUCUAGGUGGAGGG